rnacentral:tRNA from 1 species
GGGCGCUUAGCUCAGCUGGGAGAGCACCUGCCUUACAAGCAGGGGGUCGUUGGUUCGAGCCCAAUAGUGCCCA